AGAAAUCUUUAACCUCAGAAAACAGUAUAACCGCUGUCAGUAAACAACCCAAGGAUAGCUCCGUGGAUAGUGAACAUUCAGAAAAUAAGACUCAAUUGAAUGAACCUAAACCUGGAAGUCCAUGUGAAGUUGCCAAAGACUGCAUUCAGCAUACAAUAGAUCAUCCAGAAUGCAGUUCCCCUGUUUCACGCCAAAGUCCCAAUAGAGGUUCGGUCAUCAUCACUUGCGUACGCUUGAAUUUCAUCAAAUUUCUAGAUCAGACUUCAAAAAGGAGAAGGAUGGAAUUGAGGGAAUAAAACUUAGAGCGACGGAGAUG